CAAUGGCUGGACUCACUCUUCAUCUAAAUCAUGUCUCUAAACGUGCUGCCGUUAAGGUUGGCGCUACAUAAAUUAUGCCUUCACGGCUGGACAUAACUGCUACAUGGUCUUCUCACUUGAGAUGUCAUAUAUAACGUGUCCUUUCUGUGUGAAUGUUCAACUAGGAGCAGUUUCAUCUCGAGCACUGCAAUCAUGCAUGGUACUCUCAUCGACUACUAACCACUUGCUACUAACAUAAAUCAUGCCUCCAACGCUGGACAUCACUACUAAAGAGCUUUUUUGGGGCGUCCAUGGAUGCAAAGGAAUCCCAUAAGUACAAUGUACACUGACAUCAUCUUCAUCAAAUUCUUCAAGCUCAGCAAGUGUGAGGUAACUAAUGCAUGUGUAUUAUCUAUUUCAUCGAAGUGUAAGAUUUCUCCUCUUCUCUUGUUUGUGUUCAAUGGUUGUUGUGGUUUUUUGUUUUGCGUUUCAACAGUGACAUGUAUCCUGAUUAGGCACUUGCAUAGGUACUGUGUAGAGCUGGAACCUCUAAUAAAAAAUGACCUAUGCAGUAAAGCAAAGGAGAGAGACUGCAACCUUUUCAGGCCUGAAUCUAUCCCCAUUCUGAAUCUACUUGGUUAUUGAUUCUCAUUUUCAGCAUAUGAAGACCACAUGCUAUUUUUUCUAUGCUCUCCUCUUCGGCUCUUCCUUUAUGAUUCAGCAUAUGCUAACUGCUACUGUAGCUUUCGUGCUUAUAUCCUUGGUUAUAUUUUACAGCGAUCCAAAUUAAGGAUUUGUGUUGAUAUCCCAAGUUCCUAAUGACGAUUGGUCCUUAUUAGUUUCUUUAAAGGAAGCACAACAAGUGGUUGUACUAGGAAGAUUACCUUGACAUGGGAGUUUCUUUUUUCUAACGAACAGGGGAGUCUUUAUUAUUUCACUUGAGAAGAUGAUGUACGCAUUUAAAGUGUAGAAUUUCCAUUUGUAUAUUCAUAUUGUGCUUAA